CCAAGUGACUGGACAUAUGUAGAAGCAGAGUUAAAAAAGCGUCUUGGAAGAAACUUUCUAAUUUAUGCAAGUGCAUCCAACACCUACACUAAAACCUUUUCUGGGAUUGAUGGAGCUGGAAAGCGACUGGCAGAUGAAGUUAUGCAAGUUGUGAAGAAGACAGAUAGUUUAAAAAGGAUUUCCUUUUUAGCCCAUUCUCUUGGUGGCUUAUUUGCAAGAUAUGCUGUUGCUGUCCUUUAUUCAGAGAAUGCCUUAGGUACUGGUCAAUCCAAUAAUCUUGUUGAUUCUACACUUCCUAGGUCUGCAAGACGAGGUAAAAUUGCAGGAUUGGACCCAAUCAAUUUUGUUACCCUGGCAACUCCACAUCUUGGAGUUAGAGGAAGAAAGCAGCUUCCAUUUCUUUUGGGAAUUCCAUUUCUGGAGAAACUUGCUCCACCCAUGGCUCCUAUAUUAGCAGGUCGAACUGGUAGUCAACUUUUUCUUACUGAUGGUAAACCUGCCAAACCACCACUUCUUUUAAGAAUGGCAUCAGAUUGUGAAGAUGGAAAAUUUAUAUCUGCCCUUGGUGCAUUUAGAUGUCGCACCAUCUAUGCAAAUGUAUCUUAUGAUCAUAUGGUUGGCUGGCGUACAUCCUCCAUAAGGAGAGAGCAGGAACUUGUCAAGCCUCCUCGGCGAUCUUUGGAUGGUUACAAGCAUGUCGUAGAUGUUGAGUAUUGUCCACCAAUCUCUUCUGAUGGCCCUCAUUUUCCUCCAGAAGCGGCUAAAGCAAAGGAGGCAGCACAAAAUGAACCCAGUGUGCAAAACACGGUGGAGUAUCAGGAAAUUGUGGAAGAGGAAAUGAUACAUGGCUUACAGCAGUUGGGAUGGAAGAAAGUCGAUGUCAGCUUCCACUCAGCAUUUUG
rnacentral:misc_RNA from 1 species